rnacentral:lncRNA from 1 species
GGACUCUAUGUAUUAACGAGCGGAAAUCAUCGAGGUAUUUGUGUAAAUAGAUAUAAUCCAUGUAAUCGCAGAAACUAUCAAAAUCAAAAAAGAAGUGACAAUAGUUACUAUAAGUAUACGAAAGAACCCUUUUUUUCGAAUUCCUAUGAUGCAAUUGGGGCUUAUCGGCAGAAACGAAUCAAUUUAGAUAGUCCUUUGUGGCUCCGGUGGCGACUAGAUCAACGCGUUAUUGCUUCAAGAGAAACUCCCAUCGAAGUUCACUAUGAAUCUUUAGGUACUUUUUAUGAGAUUUAUGGACACUAUCUAAUAGUAAGAAGUCUAAAAAAAAAAUACUUUUUAUAUACAUUCGAACCACUGUUGGUCAUAUUGCUCUUUAUCGAGAAAUCGAAGAAGCUAUACAGGGGUUUUCUCGGGCCUAUUCAUAUGCUACCUAAUUCUAUGAUACCGUGGGACUUCGGGGCUCUCCGGUUCAGCUAGGUCCAUAGUUCCGGAAUUUAUACGCGAAUCAAGAUCGAUAAAAGGAAGUUUUACAAUCACCGACUCAAACCCAUUGUCGAAUCCUACUCAGCGGAAUAUGGAGGUACUUAUGGCAGAACGGGCCAAUCUGGUCUUUCACAAUAAAGCGAUAGACGGAACUGCCAUGAAACGACUUAUUAGUAGAUUAAUAGAGCACUUCGGAAUGGCAUAUACAUCACAUAUCCUGGAUCAAGUAAAAACUCUGGGGUUCCAACAAGCUACUGCUACAUCCAUUUCAUUAGGAAUUGAUGAUCUUUUAACAAUACCUUCUAAGGGAUGGCUAGUUCAAGAUGCUGAACAACAAAGUUUGAUUUUGGAAAAACACCAUCAGUAUGGAAAUGUACACGCGGUAGAAAAAUUACGUCAAUCCAUUGAAAUAUGGUAUGCUACAAGUGAAUAUUUGCGCCAAGAAAUGAAUCCGAAUUUUAGGAUGACUGACCCUUUUAAUCCAGUUCAUAUAAUGUCUUUCUCGGGAGCUCGAGGAAAUGCAUCUCAGGUACAUCAAUUAGUAGGUAUGAGAGGAUUAAUGUCGGAUCCUCAAGGACAAAUGAUUGAUUUACCUAUUCAAAGCAAUUUACGCGAAGGACUCUCUUUAACAGAAUACAUCAUUUCUUGCUACGGAGCCCGUAAAGGAGUUGUGGAUACUGCUGUACGAACAUCAGACGCUGGAUAUCUCACUCGCAGACUUGUUGAAGUAGUUCAACACAUUGUUGUACGUCGAACGGAUUGUGGCACCGCCCGGGGUAUUUCUGUGAGUCCUCGGAAUGGGAUAAUGCCGGAAAGGAUUUUUAGUCAAACAUUAAUUGGCCGUGUAUUAGCAGAUGAUAUAUACAUGGGUUCACGAUGUAUUGCCACUAGAAACCAAGCCAUUGGCAUUGGACUUGUAAAUCGAUUCAUAACCUUUCGGGCACAACCAAUCUCUAUUCGAACUCCCUUUACUUGUAGGAGUACAUCUUGGAUUUGUCGAUUAUGUUAUGGGCGUAGUCCUACUCAUGGCGACCUGGUUGAAUUGGGGGAAGCUGUAGGUAUUAUUGCAGGUCAAUCGAUUGGAGAACCGGGUACUCAAUUAACAUUACGAACUUUUCAUACCGGAGGAGUAUUCACGGGGGGUACUGCAGAACAUGUGCGAGCCCCAUCUAAUGGAAAAAUAAAAUUCAAUGAGGACUUGGUUCAUCCGACACGUACACGUCAUGGGCAUCCCGCCUUUCUAUGUUCUAUAGACUUGUAUGUAACUAUUGAGAGUGAAGAUAUUCUACAUAAUGUGAAUAUUCCACCCAAAAGUUUGCUUUUAGUUCAAAACGAUCAAUACGUAGAAUCAGAACAAGUAAUUGCUGAGAUUCGCGCAGGAAUAUCCACUUUGAAUUUUAAAGAGAAGGUUCGAAAACAUAUUUAUUCUGAUUCAGACGGAGAAAUGCACUGGAGUACCGAUGUCUAUCAUGCACCCGAAUUUACAUAUGGUAAUGUUCAUCUAUUACCAAAAACAAGUCAUUUAUGGAUAUUAUUAGGAGGGCCGUGCAGGUCCAGUCUAGUCUACCUUUCGAUCCACAAGGAUCAGGAUCAAAUGAAUGCGCAUUCUCUUUCUGGCAAGCGAAGAUAUACUUCUAACCUCUCAGUAACCAAUGAUCAGGCGAGGCAGAAAUUGUUUAGUUCGGAUUUUUAUGGUCAAAAAGAAGAUAGGAUUCCUGAUUAUUCAGACCUUAAUCGAAUCAUAUGUACUGGCCAGUAUAAUCUCGUAUAUUCGCCUAUUCUUCACGGGAAUUCUGCUUUAUUGUCAAAAAGGCGAAGAAAUAAAUUCAUCAUUCCACUACACUCGAUUCAAGAACUCGAGAAUGAACUAAUGCCCUGUUCAGGUAUCUCGAUUGAAAUCCCCGUAAAUGGUAUUUUCCGUCGAAAUAGUAUUCUUGCUUAUUUCGAUGAUCCUCGAUACAGAAGAAAGAGUUCGGGCAUUAUUAAAUAUGGGACUAUAGAAACGCAUUCAGUCAUCAAAAAAGAGGAUUUGAUUGAGUAUCGAGGAGUCAAGGAAUUUAGGCCAAAAUACCAAAUGAAAGUAGAUCGAUUUUUUUUCAUUCCUGAAGAGGUGCAUAUCUUGCCCGGAUCUUCUUCCCUAAUGGUACGGAACAAUAGUAUCGUUGGGGUCGAUACACAAAUCACCUUAAAUCUAAGAAGCCGAGUCGGUGGGUUGGUCCGGGUGGAGAGAAAAAAAAAACGAAUUGAACUGAAAAUCUUUUCUGGAGAUAUCCAUUUUCCUGGAGAGACGGAUAAGAUAUCCAGGCAUACCGGCGUUUUGAUACCACCAGGAACAGGAAAAAGAAAUUCCAAGGAAUACAAAAAAGUUCAAAAUUGGAUCUAUGUCCAACGAAUUACACCUAGUAAGAAAAGGUUUUUUGUUUUAGUUCGACCUGUCGUCACAUAUGAAAUAACGGACGGUAUAAAUUUAGGAACCCUUUUUCCACCGGAUCCAUUGCAGGAAAGGGAUAAUGUGCAACUUCGAAUUGUCAAUUAUAUCCUUUAUGGAAAUGGCAAACCGAUUCGAGGAAUUUCUGACACAAGUAUUCAAUUAGUUCGGACUUGUUUAGUAUUGAAUUGGAACCAAGACAAAAAAAGUUCUUCUUGCGAAGAAGCCCGUGCUUCUUUUGUUGAAAUAAGGACAAAUGGUUUGAUUCGACAUUUCCUAAAAAUCAACUUAGUGAAAUCCCCUAUUUCGUAUAUCGGAAAAAGGAAUGAUCCGUCGGGGUCAGGAUUGCUCUCUGAUAAUGGAUCGGAUUGUACCAAUAUCAAUCCCUUUUCUGCUAUUUAUUCCUAUUCCAAGGCAAAAAUUCAACAAUCUCUUAACCAACCUCAAGGAACUAUUCAUACGUUGUUGAAUAGAAAUAAGGAAUGUCAGUCGUUGAUAAUUUUGUCAGCAGCCAAUUGUUCUCGAAUGGAGCCAUUCAAAGAUGUAAAAUAUCACAGUGUGAUAAAAGAAUCAAUUAAAAAAGAUCCCCUAAUUCCAAUUAGGAAUUCAUUGGGCCCUUUAGGAACAUGCCUUCCAAUUGAGAAUUUUUAUUCAUCUUACCAUUUAAUAACUCAUAAUCAGAUCUUAGUAACUAAAUAUUUGCAACUUGACAAUUUAAAACAGACUUUUCAAGUGAUUAAAUUAAAAUAUUAUUUAAUGGAUGAAAAUGGAAAAAUUUUUAAUCCCGAUCCAUGCCGUAACAUUAUUUUAAAUCCAUUCAAUUUGAAUUGGUCUUUUCUCCAUCACUAUUAUUGUGCAGAGACAUCUAAAAUAAUUAGUCUUGGACAGUUUAUUUGUGAAAAUGUAUGUAUAGCCAAAAAUGGACCGCCCCUCAAAUCGGGUCAAGUUAUACUUGUUCAAGUUGACUCGAUAGUGAUACGAUCAGCUAAGCCUUAUUUGGCCACCCCCGGAGCAACUGUUCAUGGCCAUUAUGGGGAAACCCUUUACGAAGGAGAUACAUUAGUUACAUUUAUAUAUGAAAAAUCGAGAUCUGGUGAUAUAACACAGGGUCUUCCAAAAGUAGAACAGGUCUUAGAAGUGCGUUCGAUUGAUUCAAUAUCCAUGAAUCUAGAAAAGAGGGUUGAGGGUUGGAACAAAUGUAUACCAAGAAUUCUUGGAAUUCCUUGGGGAUUCUUGAUUGGUGCUGAGCUAACUAUAGCGCAAAGCCGAAUCUCUUUGGUUAAUAAAAUCCAACAGGUUUAUCGCUCCCAGGGGGUGCAGAUUCAUAAUAGGCAUAUAGAAAUUAUUGUACGUCAAAUAACAUCAAAAGUGUUGAUUUCAGAAGAUGGAAUGUCUAAUGUUUUUUCACCCGGAGAACUUAUUGGAUUGUUGCGAGCAGAACGAAUGGGGCGCGCUUUGGAAGAAGCGAUCUGUUACCGAGUCGUCUUAUUGGGAAUAACAAGAGCAUCUCUCAAUACUCAAAGUUUCAUAUCUGAAGCAAGUUUUCAAGAAACUGCUCGAGUUUUAGCAAAAGCGGCUCUCCGGGGUCGUAUCGAUUGGUUGAAAGGCCUGAAAGAGAACGUUGUUUUGGGGGGGGUGAUACCCGUUGGUACCGGAUUCAAGGGAUUAGUGCACCCUUCAAAACAACAUAACAACAUUCCUUUGGAAACAAAAAAAACAAAUCUAUUCGAGGGGGAGAUGAGAGAUAUUUUGUUCCACCACAGAAAAUUAUUUGAUUCUUGUCUUUCAAAAAAAUUCCACGACAUACCCGAACAAUCAUUUAUAGGAUUUAAUGAUUCCUAACAACGGAUUCGUCUCUUUCGCUAUCUGCAUUUGGUAUGGUUAUUUGCUUUGGUAAUAAAAAGAAUAAUGAAUAGAAAAGAAUAAUGGUUUGGGUCGUGUAUCUACGUCCAAUCUACAGUAGAAGAGAAGGUUCCAUCGGAACAAUUAUUUAUUUCAGUUCAGGGUUCCUCGUCUCUUUUUUUUUUUGAAAAAGAAUAAAAAAAGGGGGGGAGGUUGUGGGGAGAAAUGACAAGAAGAUAUUGGAACA